rnacentral:rRNA from 1 species
AGAGCCUUCCCCUUCGGGGGACAAAGUGACAGGUGGUGCAUGGUUGUCGUCAGCUCGUGUCGUGAGAUGUUGGGUUAAGUCCCGCAACGAGCGCAACCCUUAAGCUUAGUUGCCAUCAUUAAGUUGGGCACUCUAAGUUGACUGCCGGUGACAAACCGGAGGAAGGUGGGGAUGACGUCAAAUCAUCAUGCCCCUUAUGAUUUGGGCUACACACGUGCUACAAUGGACAAUACAAAGGGCAGCGAAACCGCGAGGUCAAGCAAAUCCCAUAAAGUUGUUCUCAGUUCGGAUUGUAGUCUGCAACUCGACUACAUGAAGCUGGAAUCGCUAGUAAUCGUAGAUCAGCAUGCUACGGUGAAUACGUUCCCGGGUCUUGUACACACCGCCCGUCACACCACGAGAGUUUGUAACACCCGAAGCCGGUGGAGUAACCUUUUAGGAGCUAGCCGUCGAAGGUGGGACAAAUGAUUGGGGUGAAGUCGUAACAAGGUAGCCGUAUCGGAAGGUGCGGCUGGAUCACCUCCUUUCUAAGGA